GACGAACGCUGGCGGCGUGCCUAAUACAUGCAAGUUGAGCGCUGAAGGUUGGUACUUGUACCAACUGGAUGAGCAGCGAACGGGUGAGUAACGCGUGGGGAAUCUGCCUUUGAGCAGGGGACAACAUUUGGAAACGAAUGCUAAUACCGCAUAAAAACUUUAAACACAAGUUUUAAGUUUGAAAGAUGCAAUUGCAUCACUCAAAGAUGAUCCCGCGUUGCAUUAGCUAGUUGGUGAGGUAAAGGCUCACCAAGGCGAUGAUACAUAGCCGACCUGAGAGGGUGAUCGGCCACAUUGGGACUGAGACACGGCCCAAACUCCUACGGGAGGCAGCAGUAGGGAAUCUUCGGCAAUGGACGAAAGUCUGACCGAGCAACGCCGCGUGAGUGAAGAAGGUUUUCGGAUCGUAAAACUCUGUUGGUAGAGAAGAACGUUGGUGAGAGUGGAAAGCUCACCAAGUGACGGUAACUACCCAGAAAGGGACGGCUAACUACGUG
rnacentral:rRNA from 1 species